CAAAGACCAAAUGCAUACAGCCAACCCAUUUUAUUAUUGAGUCCACAAAAACGUAUGACCCAGUCCAUUCUAUUGUAAAAGAGGGUGCUGGUUUUCUCAUCUUCAUCAACGAUACACACCCCCAACCACCAAAAAACCCUAACCCCUUCCCCAUUUUCGUCAAUUUUUUCAACACAGAACUACACCGAAAUCUUCUCCCCUAGCUUAGCCAUGUCAGAGGUUCUGUUCAUCUCUCUCAUCCACGCCCCUUCAUCUUCUCUAACACGAAAUCAGCCUCAAAAGUCUUCAAGUCAGUAGAAAAUGUGACGAAUCCCAGAGGAUCCGGGGAUUUGAUGGGCAAUAUCAAAUUUUUCAACCAAAAUCAUCAAUUCUUGUACCCGUUGGUUGUUCCAUUUCUUUUUUUUUUUCAAUCGAACCCUCACCCCCUCCUUGGAUGAUUUUCAAAUUUCAAAUACCCUCUUGUUUUUAGUAUAAAUACAUGGUCUUGGUGACCAUCUAAACCAGAGAUUGAUCUCCCCAACAAAUCUGAAUACAAUUGCUUCUUUUGUUCUCUGAUUUCUCAGUUCGGUUUUCUCAUCUUUAUUCACUCGUGUGCUUUGUUUCUAUUUGAAUACUAAAACUCGGGUGUUUCGGUGAAAGUAGGAUUCGUCAUCGACUUAGCCUCAGUCGCUGCACACAAACAAGUGGAUUCUAUUCACCAUCACAUAAUAUGUCGGGCUUUUGACCUAACAUAAAAUUCAUCAAGUCAGCCUCUUUGUUCUGUCCCCUUCGUGCUAAAGCAAGGAAAGAAAAUGCGAGCCCAAGUAUAAAGGAGCAGCAGCAGUAAUAGAUCAAGAAAAAAAAAAAGGAUUUUUUACUGGUUGUAGCUUCUCUUAAGACAUAUUUAUUAAUAAUAACUACCCUUUAAUUUAAUUAUAAAUAGUAACUAAAAUACUUUUCAUAUUUACCACACAUAGCUAUAUCAGUAACUUUUAGUUACUGAGGCCAAAUACACACGUAAAACCCUCCCCCAUAUCCCCAAAUCCCACGUUUAACGGUUAGUCAAUUAAAUUCGCUAGAUUCUCUCUCCAGCAACAUUAAUCCUUGCCUUUUGUUUCUCCACUACCUUCCUUAACGUUUCAUCAUCUUCUAACCAUUGUUGCGAAAAUUGGGGAAGUUGUAUUUGGAUAGAUUUUUACAUUCUAUUAGUGUAUUUUUUUUCGUAAUAACUUCCUAUUUUCAAAGAUUUUAAAGCGUAUUCAACUUCCAAUCAUUUCCUUUUUCUUCUCCAAUAUCUUCCUUCAUGAUUCUUCAUCUUCAAAUCAUUGUUGCGGAAAUUGGGGAAAGUUGUGUUUGGGUUUUUGAAGAACAUCCAUUAAUGGCAGAUGGAACGACACCUAAUAGGGUUACUCGAGCAAAAUAUGUAUAAAAUGGCUGCUGAAAGGCGUUUCAAGAAUAUUCAUAAUCCUCGAAGAGUUCAAAAUCCCCUAAUUGCAAAAUCUUCAAAGAAAAUAGAUUCGGCUACAGUCAUGAAGAGGAGAAAAACUACUGAUAUUGUUCCGGACAGCAAGGAAAAACAAGUUGUAGAGGCUGAACCGGAAGAAAAGCAAUUACCUGCGAAGAAACAGGCAUUUCUUUGAAUAUAUGUGGUUUUUUAUGUUAAUAAAUGUAUGUGUAGCUAAAAUGUAUUUCAAUCUCUACUAUUACUGAUGUUUAAUUCCUGGGACUUUGAUCUUUUAACGAAUCAUGUGUUUUGACACAUGUAUAGAUGUGUUCUUGAACAAGCGAGAACUGCUAAUCAUGUAUUUGAACACAUGUGUUAUAUAUAUUUUGAUUUUUUUGUAUGUUCUGUUACACCUAACUGUGUAUUUGAACAAAUGAUUAACUAAUUAUCAUGUAUUUGAACAUAUGAAUUAUAUGUAUUUGCACACACUUGUAUGUUUCUGUUACAACUAACUGUGUAUUUGAACAAAUGAAGAAUUGAUUAUCAUGUAUUUGAACACUUUUUUGUAUGUUUUGUUACACCUAACUGUGUAUUUUAACAAAUGGUUAACUGAUUAUCAUGUAUUUGAAUAUACGAAUUAUAUGUAUUUAUUUGCACACGCUUGUAUUUGCACACGCUUGUAUGCUUAUGUCCUACAUCUGGCUGGAUUCUAUGUAAAUAAAAAAAGCAUAGAUUUGGUGAAAGACCCAGCAUAUGCGGAUAAGGGACAGAUCGAUAUCCUUGAAGUUGUCUAUGUUGAAAAUCUGCCGCAUCAAACUGCUGGUAGCACGGACUAUGGUGUCUUCGUGGCAGUGUAUGCUGAGUAUUUGACAUCGGGUGAAAGGAUUCCAGAUGUCAUUGAGGCACACAUGUAGCGUAUGAGAUACGGUGCACUCUUAUGGGACUACGCUGAACGCAAGGUUGCUGACAAAGCUGAGAGUGAUAAUGAAGUUCCACCAAGACCGAUUAGGCCAGCAAUUGAUUACGACAAUGUAGAUGCAAUUGAUGUUUGAUAAAUACUAUUCGUGCAUUCGAUAUUUUUUGUCCUUUUUUUCAUUAGAGCAAACAAUCUGAUGUUUUUAGAUGUAUUUUGACUGAUGUUAGAUAAUUAUCAUUUAACCAAAGAAAUCUCAGGGGGUUUAUGUUCCA